ensembl:lncRNA
UGUCAUUACAACAACUCAGUGCAGGUGUGUGCUGUCUGGAAGAAGAGAAGUAAUGGUAGAAUUGAAAGAAGCCAAAGUCCAGAGCUGUGUAAAAUUAUUUUUGGUAAAUUGCAUAAAUAAAACAUCUUAGAAAUGAUAAUUGUCUGCACAGCAAUUGGAAAUCAAGCUCAAAAAUGAAAUUAAAACUUUUUUUGAUAUCUUCAGUAUGUCAGUGCCUGGUCCCUUUUAUCUACUAAUAAUGUUUUAGCUUCUAUUCUCAUCUUGUCUCACGUUAUCCCAGAAGAAUGUUCACGGCGCCAUAUGAACUGAGCAAGGUGGUAAGUUAAUUUGUCUUUAUACUCCAGAAGUUUGAUUGCAGGCUUUUUUGGGUCUAUUUCAUUCCUAGUGUGGAUAUGCAGGGUGCUGUACUGUGCCAGGCAUCAAGUGAGACGCAUCCCGGAAAUGUUUCUGAAUGUAUGAAGAAAUGAGAAGGAACACGUUUCCCCGUGGGUGAAUCCCAGCCUGCAGAAUGCUGUGGGUGAUACUGAAGAGCUCAGGCAGGCCUGUAGCAUGGAGCUGCUCUUUAGCUUCUGACUGAUGCAUCUCAUCAACCGGUGUUCUACAGAGCGAUAAACAGGAGGGAAAGGGCUUAUGAGAGCAUACGUCUCGAUCACAUUGCAGCUGCUUGUGCUGUGUACCACAUUCUUAACGUUAUUAGAAUCAUUCCCAGUAUAAUCAAACUAUGCUUCUCCAGUUACAUCAAGGCUAAUUUUGGCCCGGUGCUUUCUGCAGCUCAGGCAGACUUGAUGGAAGCAUUUUUAAUCACUUUUUACAAUCCUGCACACAAAUUUCAGUUGUAUCCUGGUGUAAGAAGUUUUAGCACCCCAGCACUGUACUGGAGCAGUUCACGUUGGCCCUGGGGUGGCUGAGGAUGGCUUUUCAAUGUUUACAGACUACGUGGGGAAAAAGAAAGGAGCUGUCAAGUGGAGAAAUGAGGGCAUGGAUCAUAGGAAUUUCUAGUUUCUUCUCAAUAUUGUUGUAUUUUUAAAUAUACCUUCCUUUUCUAAGUGUUUUCUAGGUUUCUACGCUCUGUCCCUAUCAACCCCUCAUGUGGUUUGUCAUGCACUGCAGUCAGAAGGCUUGACUUGCAUUUAUCUUUUGGCUUAGAGCUAAUUCCCCAUGCCAACAUUCACAACAACAGAAUUGAUUGAGGAAGUGAAUAUUGCACUUUUUCUUGAGUUUCAGUUGAAGUGUUUAGGAAGUUGGACCUUAAUUAGCUUUUGGUAGAGCUGAAGUAGAGGAAUAGUUAUGUAACUGCCCAGCUGUUUGUGAGAAAACACCUUCAUUUGGUGACAUCUGAGUCCCUUCAGUGCCUUCUGAGAGGUACCUGCUGCUUUGCAGGGCUCACGUGGAGUAAUUGGGAGACUUCAUAAUACCAUGUGAUUUAAAAAUAAAAAAUAACAAAAGUAGAGCAAAAUGAAAAUCCAUCAUACUUUACAUUAACAGCUUUCAAUGUCUGCUUUUUUUUUUUUUUUUUGCAUGAUUUGUAUUGGGAGAAGAAGAAAACAAAAGAAUAACCCUGGUGUUCUGUUUGUCCUCGAUGUAAGGACUGCAUAGUACUGCAUCUUCUGGAUAGAGAAGGGCAGGCGUUUGGAGGCUGAGGGUUGGUAAGAUACAGCGCGACUUCUGUCUCUUGGCCUUUGGUGCCCUUUGCAGUGCUGGAAGUUUUGUUUUUGUUGUUUCUUACUUUGGUGUUUUGAUGGUAUUCCAGGUGGAAGUAUUAGGGAGGAGGAAGACAAACAUGUAGACUGGAGCUAUUGCUAUUGGACCUAGAAAGUUAGGAGGAGAUGGGUUUGCUUCCAUAAUGAUGUUCCUGUGGUGGGAUGUAAUUAAGGGAAGGGAGCAGGGACCCCUGAGUGGAGCCGCUGAGGCCCUCUUAAACCAAGCUGGUUUGUCAUGCUCCAGGUCUGCUAAGUUUGUAUUGUCAGGUUGUGCACAGAAAUGUCUUAAGCUGUUUCCAGAGUGGACGUAACCCUGAAAGCAAUGGGUUCAUGCACAUCUUGUGCUUGAUUCCUGAAGCCUGGCUCUGAGCUGGCUCAGCACAGGGCUGAGGUGUGGCUGACUUUGGCCUGCUCGGAGCACUGACUGCACAUGUUAAGGAACACCUUGAAGAUCUGAUUCCACUGAAGGAAUGCUCACGUGGAGUAAUGGCUUUCCAUGUUUUCUGGAGUUUGGCAGUCACAUGGGUUCUGACAGCAAUGCCACGUGCUCUGGGACAUUAGGCAGCAAUGUCUGGUUGGUCUCCUAUAGCUGUUAACCUGCAUAUUUCCAUUUUUCAAAUCCCUUCCUUCUAGCAUUACGUCUGUUCUGUAUACUGGCUCUCCUCUGAGUUCAGACGGCUCCUGCUACCAUACAGCACGUGCUGUGCCAGAUGCUGAAGGACAGAGACUGUGAUGAGCACUAUCAGUGUGCAACGUGAACUGAUGGCAGGUAUUCAUAUCUGGUCCUCGUAGUCUGACAUAAAUAUGGAAGCCAUAAGGUGCAGUGUGACUUCUGGCCGUGGAUUCUUCUGUUCUUGAUGAAUAUUUCAGUGUUGAUAGAAACAUUUGUUUUCAUAGCAUGUCCAAGAGCUGUUCUGCAGUGGAGAAGGUAAGUUCAUAGGUGUGGGCAGGGGAUGGACAACCAAGCCCUUCAUCUGUUCUCAUGUUUUUUUUUUCCUCUGACGCAGUCCUUACAGUUGUAUGGACAGAUGUUGGGCUGAUCAAACAGCUACUGAAACCAUGAAGAAUCGGGGCAUAUUUUUAUGAGUGGGGAUGAAAAGAGAGAUUUAAGAUUUUUAGCCUUUCCAUGAUGCUCUCAGAUGCAUGGUUGAAUUUUAAGGUGUUUCUGAAUGGAUCCAGAUUGUGAUGUGCUGUAAUUAUAUUUGUUGUCUUUUGAAACAGACUCAGUUGCAGUUCAUUGUCAUUCUCUGUUCAUUUUCCUGAUUGAGAAUUACUCUCUGCAGUGCUUGUUGCUGGAAAAUAUUUAGUUGCCAGUGUUUAUUUCUGUCUUACAAGUUCAGCUGAGUCCUCUUUGCUUUAUGGUGAGGGACUGCUGCUGGCUAUUAGCUGUGCUUUGAAGACAAAUAUCCCUAUUUUCAUUCAAGUUCAGAUUGUGUUUGCUCUGAAACCCAAUGGAAGUGUUAGCUGUAUCUCAGUUCCCUGAUUUGGGUUGAUAGGACUUGCCUGUGAAUCUUGUUCUGACAGAUGAUUACCUCCCUGGACUCCUUCCUUAGGUAACUUAGCAAAGAGUCCCAGGUAUGCUUUGCAAGGUAGAACCACGUGUAGACAACAGGGUUUUAUUGUUCUUCAGGGGGAAAAAAUAAGUAGCAUGGAAACAUGAAAUCUGAAUCACCCUGAAUUUAAAAAUAAAAAUCUAGGAGAUACAGCGACUUAAUGCUGUAAGUUGGAAGAAUGGUGGUGAAGUUCUUGAAUAUGAGAUUUGUUUUAAACUGACAAUAAAACUGUGUGCAAUCUGUGCUUUUGCAGUAAAUGUAAAGCGUGCCAUGGAUUAGCUAAUCUUCCAGAAGAACCCCAGCAUCUGCAUGCCAUGGCAAGUGAUCUGAGGAGCUCCAGGUGGGUGUGCUACAUGUAUAUCGAGUCGUCUCUCUAGACACUGUACUCUAUGAACUGCACGUGCAUUGUAGAAUUGUUUCCUUCCUGGUCCUUUUGUAAUGUCUGGUGUUUUGGUUUUGUUUUUUUUUCCAAAUAAAUAUCUUUUGAAGUCAUUACUUUGUGGGUGUUUUCCAAGGAUCUGAGCGUUCUCUUGUGUUGCUGGUCCUCGCUGAUGUAUUUAUUCUCUUUGGAUCACACGGGGUAAGGGAGCAGAGAAAGUCAUAAUUGCUUCAGUUGGGUGCAAAAUGCAAACCCUUUUUUCUGAAGACUUUGUUUUAAGUAUUUUCUUGGAGAGCCCCUAACAGAGGGAAAAUAAUUCUGAGCAAACCUGAA